rnacentral:rRNA from 1 species
AGCAGCCGCGGUAAUUCCAGCUCCAAUAGCGUAUAUUAAAGUUGUUGCAGUUAAAAAGCUCGUAGUUGAAUUUCGAGACCGGUUUAUUGGUCGUGCUUUUGUACGUACUGGUAUUAUUGGUUUCUCCUUUCUGACGAAUCUUAAUGCCAUUAAUUUGGUGUUUUGGGGAAUCAGGACUGUUACUUUGAAAAAAUUAGAGUGUUUAAAGCAGGCUCACGCUUGAAUACAUUAGCAUGGAAUAACGGAAUAGGACGUUUGAUUCUAUUUUGUUGGUUUCUAGGAUCGACGUAAUGAUUAAUAGGGAUAGUUGGGGGCAUUAGUAUUCAAUUGUCAGAGGUGAAAUUCUUGGAUUUAUUGAAGACUAACUACUGCGAAAGCAUUUGCCAAGGAUGUUUUCAUUAAUCAAGAACGAAAGUUAGGGGAUCGAAGACGAUCAGAUAUCGUCGUAGUCUUAACCAUAAACUAUGCCGACUAGGGAUCGGAUGAUGUUAAUUUU